rnacentral:rRNA from 1 species
AUUGAACGCUGGCGGCAUGCCUUACACAUGCAAGUCGAACGGCAGCAUGAUCUAGCUUGCUAGAUUGAUGGCGAGUGGCGAACGGGUGAGUAAUACAUCGGAACGUGCCCUGUAGUGGGGGAUAACUAGUCGAAAGAUUAGCUAAUACCGCAUACGACCUGAGGGUGAAAGUGGGGGACCGCAAGGCCUCAUGCUAUAGGAGCGGCCGAUGUCUGAUUAGCUAGUUGGUGAGGUAAAGGCUCACCAAGGCGACGAUCAGUAGCUGGUCUGGAAGGACGAUCAGCCACACUGGGACUGAGACACGGCCCAGACUCCUACGGGAGGCAGCAGUGGGGAAUUUUGGACAAUGGGGGCAACCCUGAUCCAGCAAUGCCGCGUGUGUGAAGAAGGCCUUCGGGUUGUAAAGCACUUUUGUCCGGAAAGAAAUCGCACUUACUAAUAUUAGGUGUGGAUGACGGUACCGGAAGAAUAAGGACCGGCUAACUACGUGCCAGCAGCCGCCGUAAAAC